UACGAAGGGGCUAGCGUUGUUCGGAAUACUGGGCGUAAAGCGCGCGCAGGCGGUUCUUCAAGUCAGUGGUGAAAGCCCGGAGCUCAACUCCGGAAUUGCCAUUGAAACUGUAGAACUUGAGGAUGAGAGAGGUGAGUGGAAUUCCCAGUGUAGAGGUGAAAUUCGUAGAUAUUGGGAAGAACACCGGUGGCGAAGGCGGCUCACUGGCUCAUUUCUGACGCUCAGGCGCGACAGCGUGGGGAUCGAAACAAGG
rnacentral:rRNA from 1 species